rnacentral:rRNA from 1 species
UCUACGGGGGGCUGCAGUGGGGAAUAUUGGACAAUGGGCGAAAGCCUGAUCCAGCCAUGCCGCGUGUGUGAAGAAGGCCUUCGGGUUGUAAAGCACUUUCAGUGGGGAAGAAAGCCUUGGGGCUAAUACCCUCGAGGAAGGACAUCACCCACAGAAGAAGCACCGGCUAACUCCGUGCCAGCAGCCGCGGUAAUACGGAGGGUGCGAGCGUUAAUCGGAAUUACUGGGCGUAAAGCGCGCGUAGGCGGUCUGAUAAGCCGGUUGUGAAAGCCCCGGGCUCAACCUGGGAACGGCAUCCGGAACUGUCAGGCUAGAGUGCAGGAGAGGAAGGUAGAAUUCCCGGUGUAGCGGUGAAAUGCGUAGAGAUCGGGAGGAAUACCAGUGGCGAAGGCGGCCUUCUGGACUGACACUGACGCUGAGGUGCGAAAGCGUGGGUAGCAAACAGGAUUAGAUACCCUGGUAGUC